CAGAAGAGGAGUAGUGGGUGCAGAUGGUAUGGUGAGAUGGGGUCAGUGUCACAGGAGCUGGGAUCUGGAAGGAAGGUGAAAGUGUAAAAAGGCUUGGGAAUGUCAGUGGAGGCUAAGGAAAACAGGUCUCUGAGCUCUGGAGGGGCAGAAAGCUGCCUCCACCCAGGAUGGCUUCAGGAGAUGAGCAGACUUCAGAGGGGGCCUAGGGCACACAGGCUGAGGGUGUGUGGGGGUUGUCAAGGUGGGUCUGAGGUGACAGAGGCCCAAUGGGAAGGCUUGAGGAGGAACAAAUAGCAAGGGUUUGGAUAAAGCUGGGCCCAGGAGUGAUCAGAGCAGGAAGACCCUUGAGGACACAUGUAAUGGCUGAAGUACGUCGGGGAUUAGCUAGUGGCUUGAGGAGAGCUCGGAGGAAAGAAAACAUCUCAAACUACCAUCUUGAAUCCCUGGUUGGCAGUUUGGGGUUCUGGGGCGACGAGAGCCUUAUCAGUCUAAAUAAAGGCAGAUGGUGGAUGUUGAGCUGGUUUUGAGGGAGGUUCCCUCAGUGGCUCCUGAGGGAAGUUUCCAGAGGGAGGCAGCAGUGAGGGCAGGACAACUGCCAGGAGGUGAGUGUGGGUCACAGGCUCAGUUCACACUGCAUCCCUUCAGACUGUUGUGGCUUCAGAGAGCAGCAGCCUCAGCGGGACAUAAGUGUCUGGGCAGAGAGAACAUCUACAGGAGAUGGUUUGACCAGGAAGUGGUGGCUUGUCCCCUAUUCCUGCUCAUAAACAACAGGCUUCAAGUGUUCUGCUUUCUCGGAUUGGACCCAGAGGAACCAUCUCGGUGGGCUGCAUGAACACUAGUUUCAAGGGGCCCCCGCAGGCCAAGGCUGGCUAGCGAAGACCCUAAGCAAUGGUGGGUGCCAGCCCUCCGCCAGGUCCUGAAGAUCAGCUGAGGGGUUUCUCCUUCCACACCCUUCUGGGGUACCUCCCUCGCGUCCCACGAGGAGCCACCCUGGGCAUGGUUGGCAUCUUUUCCCCACCCAGCGACCCUGUGAGGAAGGGGUGAGGGUCUCUAUGUUGCCGAUGCAAGCAGCUUGCUCAGUGUCCUCUAGCAAGUGGCAGAUCCCUGACACCUCAGAACCUGUGCUCCUUUUGUGGCAUCUCCCUGUCUCCCAUUCAGUUCCUCAUGCAUUUAGGAGGCACCUGCCACGGCAGUCCCGCAGCUAGAAAUCCAGGACACACUAGACACCUGAGGAGAGUUUCACAGCCUGCUUGUGUAUCAGAUCACCUUUGAAACCUACCCCCGUCGCCGCUCACCCACCUCAGAUCUGAUUUCAUAAGUUGAGGGAUGGAGCCCAAGAGUCCCCAUUUUUACUUAAACAAUAUUCAAAAAUGAUAAUUCUAGUUCUCACUUGUGUGGGGCCCUUUUGGGAGGAGACUGGUUUCCCUUUCUAGGCAGGCAAGAGAAGUGGGGUGGUCUAGCUUCGGUCACGGGCAGCUGGACUCUGCCUGAGGUAUCCCUGCAUAUCUUCUAUCCACCAUCUCCGCCAGGGUAUCUGAAACUCCACAGUCAGAGAUUUCUUUCUUGGGAUUGGGUUUCAUCUCCAGCUAAAACGCAAAUCCCUCUGGAGGAGUGGGGGGAAGCACAUCAACUAUUACAGGUUGAAUCUGGGUAAGUUUGUCAUGUCAACGCAUUGGGAGAGCAAACAACAAGGAAAACGAAUCCUUAUUCAGGACCAUUUUUUUCUUAGGUCUCAGCCCAGGCAAGUAACAGUGAGAAAACCAGACUGGGAUCUGUCCUCUGGGAGCAUCUAGAAGAGAAGCCAAGAGGAAAGGGGAGCAGGUCUAAAGGCAGUUCCCUGGCCUGGAGGGAUAGGCCUGGCCGGGGUGGGUGGGGGGAACAAGAACACGCAGGAGAUCAGAGGGUGCAGAAGCAAGGAUGGCUCAAUCACUAGACCAGCUAUAGGAGCAGGAGGUGAGGGAGACGUGGGGAGGUGGCUCUGGAGUGGGGGCAUGAUGGAUGAAGCUCUCCCCUUGACCUAGGGGUGUCAGGGAAGGCAUCCUGGAGGAUUUUGUUGACAGUGUGAAAGAAAAAUCUGGUGCACCAGAGGGUGGUUACGAAAUGAAAGGCACAGAGUGACAGCAAGAGCACAGGUACCUGUCUGUGCAGAGGACUAUCCAUUUGGGGGAUGGGGCUGGCCAGGGGGUGAGGCCCAGGCCUUGCUGGGCUGUGCUGAGGCUGGGCUCUGGACAUAGUCCCCAUUCUUUGUUAGUUGUGCUUCCUUGCACUGCUUCAGCGGCAGUGGGAGAGGUGGGUGGAGGGCAGGACUGACGUGUCACUGCACCUGCAGACCUGGGGUACUGCCCUCACCAGGCCUUCCCUGCCCACCUCCCCGCCAAGAAAUCUGCCCAGAGGCCUGCAGGGGAGGAAAAAAUGAUCCCUUCUACUCUUUUAGAUUCUGUGUCUGGUCUAUGAAUUUAAUUAACAUAAGAUGACCAGGAGGGAAAAAAAAACCAAUUUAAAUUACAUAGGCAUGUACAGUCAGGAGCCCCACAGAGAUAGGAGACUCAAAAGGUGACCAGCCAGCUGCAGCUUAUAGACCCUCCUGAGUAAGGAAGGGGCAGGGGCUUGGAGCUUCCGGAGGGUGAGGAGGCGACGCAGGGGAAAGGCAGAGCACGAAGGGUAAGGAAAGAUAGUCGCCCAGCUCUGCAGAUCAAUCUCCCAGGGGAAAAGCUCUCACUGGCAGAGGUUCCCUUCCUAGCACUGAGAGGGAGACACCGGGACAAACGGCGCUUUCCUUUCUCAGCAUGAAUUUCCCUAGAAGAGGGUGAGUCUACUGUGUUUUCAGAGCUUCUCCUGUGUCUACACUUUCUCAGAAUAAGCAGCUCAAAAUGAUCCGUAUGCCAGAGAGGCAUAUUUGGGGUGGCCAGUUCUGCUCCCCUCAGGCCUCUUUCCCCUCCCGCUGCCUGUUGCACAGAACAAUUUCUACAGAAUAGACUGGGGUUUUAAAAGCCGUAAUCAAUCUGGAUGGAAGGAGGGGUUAUUCCCCGGGUGCGAUGCCCGAGAGUCUCUAACUGCAGCCGAGGACCUGGCCUGCUCUUGCAGGGCAUCUUCCUCUCAGAGGUGGCUGGGGACCAUGGUGCCACUCUGGGCAAAAUAAAAAGGCAGAUUAAAAGAAUUACAACCUUAACACACACACACACACACACACACACACACACACACACACAUACACAAUUGAAAAAGAAAAGCCCAAGAACAACAGGAAGCUGAACAGGAAGUUCCCAUAGAAGAUGAAAAUAUUUGAGAGUCAUGCUGAGUGCAGAGGCCGAGGGCAGAGGGGAUUGCAGGGAUACACGGCUGCGGAGGUGGUGGGCCCUGCCACCCUGGCCUGUAGCAGGACGCCUCUGGACCCGCUGGCCAGGCCCUGCCCACUCCCAGGGGCCCCUUAAUUGGCACAUGCACACACAGAUCUGCAUACACAUGACAACUUUCACAUGUGCUUGCUCAGAUACGCCUGUGCAAGCUCAUGCACACACAUGCCCGUGCCAACUAACAUGUGUGCAUGGUGAACCUAUUGAUGCACCUAAACGCAAGACAACAGAUACUCAGAGACACUUUGUGUGCAAAACUGUAAAGAAAGUGAAAGUUAGACUAUAGGCCCUUCGUCUCACUCACUGUGUGUGGCCGCCUCCUUCCCAGGCAUCCAGGCAUCUAAGGUGUUUGGGGGCUGAGAAGUUUCUCACUGGCACGCUCCGCCUCACUCCCCAGGGCAGCCCUCCAUGGACAGUCUCCUAGCUCUAACCUUCAAGAUCUAUACAUCUCAAGAUCCUUUUAUUCUUUUAAAAAUUAGGAGGAUCCCAGUGAGCCUUUAUUAAUGUAGGUUACAUCUAUCAAUAUGGUGGCAUUGUUUUCUACUUCUACAAAUCUCUUCCAUGUGCAGCUUUAUAGAGGAUGGCUGGAUUGUCACAGAAGCUUCCUCAUGAAAUCUCUUUUGGGUGAGGUAUAUGAAGAUGAUCCAGUAUCACAGAGAUAUAUUAGAAAAGAGAGAGCCUCAUGGAUCCCGUUAGGCAGCAUCUGACCUGUCUCCUAAUGCCCCCUGUCCCCUGAUCUUCAUGCCCUUGUGGAAUCCCAUCCACGUGGGUGUGGGCUGGACCUGGUGACUUGCUUCUGAGGAAUAUGUACAGCAAAAGUGGUGGGAUGUCACCUUGAAGAUGACAUCACAAAGACUGUAGCUUCCACCUUGAGUCCCCUCUCUUGCUCUCUCGCUCGGGGGAAAGUGAGCUGUGAUGGUGCAAGGUGCACUGUGGGGAGGCCCGGCCAGCAAGGAACUGAAGGAGGCCUCUGGCCAAUAUCCUGAGUGAUGAGCUGAGGCCCGUCCACAGCUGCGGCGGUGAUUUAGGAGCAGGCCCUCCCCUAGGUGAGCUGUCAGAUGAGACUGCAGCCCCAGCUGCCACCUUGACUGGUUGGAGAUGCUGAGGAGAAGCUUCCAGCUAAGCCAUGCUUGCAUUCCUGACCUACUGGGAGUUACUGUGAGACUGCUUCGGGCUUUCCUCAGUGGCAUGCACCAUGGAGGAUGGGGACCUCAGAGACCAUCUGGGCAUGCCUUCCUACUGCAGAGGAACCCAUGGAGCCCCCGACCCAGGAGAUGUUCUAGAUGAAUGGCUGGCACGUGGUAGGAACUCUAUGAGUAUUUGUGGAAUACAUUUGUGGAAUAAAUGAGUAAACGAACAGUGCUGUGUUAUCCGACCUGGCCUGUCACUGGGUCUGACAGUUUGGGCCAUCAUCGGUAGAAUGGGCUUAUUACAACAGAACAGUUUCACAGAGUCGUAAGGACUAAGAAAAUUGCCUCAUGGCUAAGUAAGUUAUGGGGUGAAGAUGCUCGCAGCAAAGUUGCUGACUACCAAGCUGCCUGAACUAGCUGACUGGCCACCUGGAAGGCCCUUUUCUGCCUUUUGUCUGCCCACAGCCUCGUCAUCCUUCAGUGCCCUCACCAUUGCCUCCUCCAGGAAGCCUGCCUAGAUAACACAAACCUAAACCUUUCUCUGGACUUCCCUGGAGUCAUCUACAGAGCUUAUAUUUGUCUCUCGUUUGCCUUAUGCUGCUCUUCUGCAUAGGCCGAGCCCAUCUUCCACUGGUUGUAGGUUCCCUGAGCGCCAAGACCUUGUCUUCAGUUAUCCCCCCUGCUCCUUCUCUGCCCCAGCGACAGUUCUUCACUGGUGGGGUGGGGUGUGUUGGUGCCCCAGGAGAGCCGAGGGCAGGCCACCUGGACGAUGAGGGAAAAACCAAGCGGAGUGAGGACAGGACAGCAGUCAUCAGCAGACCAGGCCACACUGCCGCAGUGCAGGCUGGGCUGUGACCAGAGCGCCUUGGGGAAGAGAAAGGAUAGCGACAGUUCUAGAUUCUGUGCUUUGGAACCUUUUAUCUCACUGCUCUUUUGCAAGAGGACUUUGAGGUAGUAGGUCUUGUUAUCACCAUUUGAUGACUGUGGAAACAGGUUUGGAAAGGCACGGUUGCCUGCCCAAGCGGAAGACGCUACAGCUGACCCUCUCGAGGUGGGCUCCCUGAACUGGUUUUUGUGAUGCGUUUCCCUGGGUUCUUUUUGGUGAUCUCAGUAGCUGCCAAAGGGGGAGGCUUAGUGGCUCCUUAACGACCUCGCAGACCCUGUUCUGAGACACAUGGACAUUUUAUUAGCAAGCAGGCAUAGAAGAGUCUUGUGGCCGUUCAGCAAGUUCCAUGAAGUUCCAGCUCUGUCAGCCAGGGUGUUUCCAAUAGUGCCUUGAAGAAGUGGUCCCCCCAGGUCAAAUGCGACCCUGUGCCAGCCACACACUAGGUUGCUGUAGGAGUUAGGUAACCAAGGCUCCGCUAGGACAGCCAGGGGACACAGGCAGCUUACGGGACCCACCUGGGGUGCCAUCCCCUAUGGUGAAAGACAAAAGUCAUCCUAGGGGGGGUUUGGCAUGUAACAAUUUUUUAUCGACAUAUCAUACACUUAGAAGUACACCAAUCCGAAGGGUACAGCUCAGUGAAUUAUCACAAAGUGAUCAGAGCUGUUUGGCAGCUCCCACUCAGAAAAACACAAUUUAACCUGCAUCCCAGAAGGUCUUUGGUGGCCCCUCCUACUCACUAUGACCCCUGCCCACAAGGGCAACCACUAGCCUGAAUUCUAGCAGCACAGAUGAUCUGUUUUGCUACUCUAUGCAAAUGGAAUCAUACAGUCUGCCUUCCUUUGUGCCUGGCUUCGUAAACUCUACAUUAUGUCGCCAGAUUCAUCUACGUUGCUGCACGUAGUUAUAAAUGAUUCAUGGCUCUCCAGAGUUCAACUGUGCAAAUACUCCACAAUUGAUUUCUUAUUCUAUAGUUGAUAGACUUUUCUGUUGAGUCAAGGGUAGUCAUGUUUGGCUUUAGUAGUCUUUUUAGUAGCAAAAAAUUUUCAAAGCAGUUGUAGCAUUUUAUACUCAAACCAGAAACACCGAAAGUUCCAACUGUUCCACAUCCUUACUGAAACUUGAAAAUGUCUGCCUUUUUUUUAAAGAUUUUAUUUAUUUACUCAUGACACACACACACACACACACACACACAGAGAGAGAGAGAGAGAGAAAGAGAGAGAGAGAGAGGCAGAGA